rnacentral:rRNA from 1 species
UGAGGAAUAUUGGUCAAUGGGCGAGAGCCUGAACCAGCCAAGUAGCGUGCAGGAUGACGGCCCUAUGGGUUGUAAACUGCUUUUAUAUGGGAAUAAAGUGAGGGACGUGUCCCUUAUUGCAUGUACCAUACGAAUAAGGACCGGCUAAUUCCGUGCCAGCAGCCGCGGUAAUACGGAAGGUCCGGGCGUUAUCCGGAUUUAUUGGGUUUAAAGGGAGUGUAGGCGGCCUGUUAAGCGUGUUGUGAAAUGUAGAUGCUCAACAUCUGAACUGCAGCGCGAACUGGCUGGCUUGAGUACACGCAACGUGGGCGGAAUUCAUGGUGUAGCGGUGAAAUGCUUAGAUAUCAUGAGGAACUCCUAUUGCGAAGGCAGCUCACGGGAGUGUCACUGACGCUUAAGCUCGAAGGUGCGGGUAUCAAACAGG